rnacentral:rRNA from 1 species
AUUGAACGCUGGCGGCAGGCCUAACACAUGCAAGUCGAGCGGCUGCACAGUACUUGCUUGUGCUUUCAGCUGCCGACUGGUGGGUGGUUCCUAGAAAUCUGCCUAUUUGCUUUUUCUAACGUCCGAACACGGGCGCUAAUACCCCAUACCUCCUUACGGCGUACGUGUGGAAUCUUCGGAUCUUCCGCUCUCGCAUGAUCCUAUGUCGGAUUAGCUAGUUGGUGGGGUAAAGGCCUACCAAGGCGACGAUCCGUAGCUGGUCUGAGAGGAUGAUCAGCCACACUGGAACUGAGACACGGUCCAGACUCCUACGGGAGGCAGCAGUGGGGAAUAUUGGACAAUGGGCGAAAGCCUGAUCCAGCCAUGCCGCGUGGGUGAAGAAGGCCUUCGGAUUGUAAAGCACUUUUGUUGGGGAAGAAAAGCAGCAAGUUAAUACCUUGCUGUUUUGACGGUACCAAAAGAAUAAGCACCGGCUAACUUCGUG